rnacentral:rRNA from 1 species
UACGAAGGGGGCUAGCGUUGCUCGGAAUCACUGGGCGUAAAGGGUGCGUAGGCGGGUCUUUAAGUCAGGGGUGAAAUCCUGGAGCUCAACUCCAGAACUGCCUUUGAUACUGAAGAUCUUGAGUUCGGGAGAGGUGAGUGGAACUGCGAGUGUAGAGGUGAAAUUCGUAGAUAUUCGCAAGAACACCAGUGGCGAAGGCAGCCCCCUGGGCUAGCACUGACGCUCAGGCACGAAAGCGUGGGGAGCA